rnacentral:rRNA from 1 species
AUUAUUGUUCAAGGGCCGCAGUAUAUUGACUGUGCAAAGGUAGCAUAAUCAUUAGGUUUUUAAUUGAGAUCUUGUAUGAAUGAUUGGACAAAAGAAAUACUGUCUUUAUAUUAAAAUUUGAAUUUAACUUUUAAGUGAAAAGGCUUAAAUAUUCUAAAGGGACGAUAAGACCCUAUAAAACUUUACAUUAGUAUUAAAUUUUAUUAAAUUUAAUAAUAAUAAUUAAAUUUAAUUUUUUGUUAUAUUGGGGAGAUAAAAGCUAUAAUUAUAAAUAACUGCUUAUAAAGAAAACAAAAAUAAAUGGAAUAAGGUUAUAGAUCCUUUUUAAAGAUUUAAAGAUUAAGUUACUUUAGGGAUAACAGCGUUAUUUUUUUUGAGAGUCCAUAUCGAAAAAAGAGAUUGCGACCUCGAUGUUGAAUUAAAAUAUCUUUAUAAUGCAGGUGUUAUAAAAGAAGGUCUGUUCGACCUUUAAUUUUUUACGUGAUCUGAGUU